UGCGGCUGGAUCACCUCCUUUCUAAGGAAGCUGUGGAAUUGGAAGACGAUCGGUUCGCCGAUAUGACCUUUCCCGUGCUUUUUAGAACAUAGAUGGCACCAGUCAGGUGACCAUCGAAACGUAAUACGCCGCAGAGGUGCUUGCACCCUGACGGUAUGGCGAGACCCGCCGUCCACGUUUCUCUUUCUCACAAAGACAAGGACCACGCUGGUUUUGGCUGUAGUUCACCCCGGAUUGGGCCCGUAGCUCAGUUGGUUAGAGCACACGCUUGAUCACCGUGGGGUCGGUAGUUCAAGUCUACCCGGGCCCACCAUUCGCCUACUGCUCAUGGUGCACCCAGUUAGUCUCUUUAACAUUGUUCUUCCUCGUUAUCUUCGAUCACUACGCUGGAGAACGAGCCGGCUUCCGAACGCAGCUUUCCCAUUUGGUUCAUCGAAACCUAAUCCUGGGGCUGUAGCUCAGCUGGGAGAGCAUUUGCUUUGCAAGCAGGGGGUCAGCGGUUCGAUCCCGUUUAGCUCCACCAAAGGUUUGGCUUUGAUGGCUGGGGAUCUGUUCCGUGUCUUUGGGAAAAUAAAGUUUGCAUCGUCUCUGCUGAGACUGAUGCCUGUUCUGCUAAAAUUGUGAAGAGAAGAUAUGUCUGGAAGGUUCCAGGUGUUGACGGCGGUCGUCGAAAGACGGUCGGUGUCGGCGUCCGAGCCCAGUCCUUUUGAAGCCAUCGAUGGUCUAGCCGACCGGAGAUGGAAGAGGGGCUGGAGGUAGGAGGGAAGUCUUGUCGUUCAGGGCAUGGAUGUUGUUGGGGUGUCCUUCGGGAUGCCCUUCUGGUGUUCAUGGCCGAUUGGUGUUGCCUGACCGCGCAUCUACCCGGGACAGGAUUCUUCGAGAAGCUGGUCUUAAGUUUGGCGCAAAGCGAAACCGCUCGGCGUGGUUCCAAUAAAGCGACCAAAUCGAACACGUCGAUGGCAUCUGAUUGGCUCGGUUGUAAAAGGUAACCGGGUUUUUGGACUGGCGGUGCGGCAUACGAAAGUUGCCCGCAUGGCCAGAUUUGGCACCCCUUCGAGCGCGAGCGAGAAGGAAAGGUUUGCCAAAUCCAAAUAAGGAUGAGCAUUGGCAAUGAGAACGAUCAAGUGUCAAACAGGCAUUUG
rnacentral:misc_RNA from 1 species